rnacentral:rRNA from 1 species
UACGGAGGGGGCUAGCGUUGUUCGGAAUCACUGGGCGUAAAGCGCACGUAGGCGGACUCUUAAGUCGGUGGUGAAAUCCUGGAGCUCAACUCCAGAACUGCCUUCGAUACUGAGAGUCUUAAGUCCGGGAGAGGUGAGUGGAACUGCGAGUGUAGAGGUGAAAUUCGUAGAUAUUCGCAAGAACACCAGUGGCGAAGGCGGCUCACUGGCCCGGUACUGACGCUGAGGUGCGAAAGCGUGGGGAGCAAACAGG